UGGGGAAUUUUGGACAAUGGGCGAAAGCCUGAUCCAGCAAUGCCGCGUGUGUGAAGAAGGCCUUCGGGUUGUAAAGCACUUUUGUCCGGAAAGAAAUCCUUGGCUCUAAUACAGUCGGGGGAUGACGGUACCGGAAGAAUAAGCACCGGCUAACUACGUGCCAGCAGCCGCGGUAAUACGUAGGGUGCAAGCGUUAAUCGGAAUUACUGGGCGUAAAGCGUGCGCAGGCGGUUUGCUAAGACCGAUGUGAAAUCCCCGGGCUCAACCUGGGAACUGCAUUGGUGACUGGCAGGCUAGAGUAUGGCAGAGGGGGGUAGAAUUCCACGUGUAGCAGUGAAAUGCGUAGAGAGUGGAGGAAUACCGAUGGCGAAGGCAGCCCCCUGGGCCAAUACUGACGCUCAUGCACGAAAGCGUGGGGAGCAAACAGGAUUAGAUACCCUGGUAGUCCACGCCCUAAACGAUGUCAACUAGUUGUUGGGGAUUCAUUUCCUUAGUAACGUAGCUAACGCGUGAAGUUGACCGCCUGGGGAGUACGGUCGCAAGAUUAAAACUUAAAUGAAUUGACGGGGUCAUAGCUGUUUCCU
rnacentral:rRNA from 1 species